GACGCAGCAACGCCGCGUGAGUGAUGAAGGCUUUCGGGUCGUAAAGCUCUGUCRAUAGGGGCGAAAUGUWUMKMGGUUAAYACCCUUUAUHCUUGACGGUACCUYUGAAGGAAGCACCGGCUAACUCCGUGCCAGCAGCCGCGGUAAUACGGAGGGUGCGAGCGUUGUUCGGAAUUAUUGGGCGUAAAGCGCGUGCAGGCGGUUUGKUAAGUCUGAUGUGAAAGCCCCGGGCUCAACCUGGGAAGUGCAUUGGAAACUGUCGGACUUGAAUACGGKAGAGGGUAGCGGAAUUCCUGGUGUAGGAGUGAAAUCCGUAGAUAUCAGGAGGAACACCGGUGGCGAAGGCGGCUACCUGGACCGAUAUUGACGCUGAGAHGCGAAAGCGUGGGKAGCAAACAGGAUUAGAUACCCUGGUAGUCCACGCUGUAAACGAUGAGUACUAGGUGUUGCGGGUAUUGACCCCUGCAGUGCCGCUAACGCAUUAAGUACUC
rnacentral:rRNA from 1 species